rnacentral:rRNA from 1 species
GACGAACGCUGGCGGCGUGCUUAACACAUGCAAGUCGAACGAAGUGUCGAACGGGUGAGUAACGCGUUAUCAACCUGCCCUUCAGAGGGGGACAACAGUUGGAAACGACUUCUAAUACCGCAUCCUGCAGGAGGGGAUUGCGUCGGUUUAGCUAGUUGGAGGGGUAACGGCCCACCAAGGAGAUGAUCAGUAGCCGGACUGGAAGGAUGAACGGCCAAAUUGGGACUGAGAAACGGCCCAGACGCCUACGGGAGGCAGCAGUGGGGAAUCUUCCGCAAUGGACGAAAGUCUGACGGGGCAACGCCGCGUGAGUGAUGACGGCCUUCGGGUUGUAAAGCUCUGUUAAUCGGGACGCGGUACCGGAAUAGAAAGCCACGGCUAACUACGUGCCAGCAGCCGCGGUAAUAC